CGACACUAAAUUAAUGUCAGCCAUUUUAAAGACCAAGUAAAGGGAGUGGUCAUGGUGAAACUUCCAAACAUUUGGUAAUGUGCUCUUUACAGGACAUCCGGACUUAAAUCAGUGAUAUUUAAGGUGUCAGAGAAAUUCACUGAAAUAUGUGUCCACAACAGAGGACAAAACCCCAUAGCUGGGUGUCAGAAGGAUAUAAGAAAUACAAGACUCACACUUUUUGUCUUUCUGAAUCAUCAAAAAAGGCUCAAAUCUUCAAUUAUUAUAAAUAUUAAUAAUGUACAAGGCAGGUACUAUAAUCAUCAUUAGGUCUACCCAGCGUAUUCUAUCCUGUGUAAUCAGUUGUAGUGUGCGCGUGGCCGCUGGGGGUCGCUGUGACGCAGGCGCUGAACAACACUGACGCGCGCAGACUCACUGCAGGAACAACAACAUGGCGGGAAAUUCAACAGAGCAGCUGCUGUCUAUGCGAGUUUAUAACAGCCUUCAGAGUCUGGGCUGUCCUCUGGUGGACGGGCUGUACCUGCGGGAGCCGGACAGUGUGCAGGAGCUCCUCUGCUCUCCUUCUUUACACAGGACAGAUAUCCUCAAGUGGAUCUGCGCCAGCAUUUGUCCAUCCCUAAAGGAGAAGUUUUCCACAAUUAAAUCAACUCAGAAUGAGGAUUUAGUUCAAGAACUCACACGGUUUGGUUAUGAGAUGAUGUUAUGUAAAGCUAAUGACCAGGAUUUAAUUAAGGGCCGCGCACCACCAUUGAGGCAGCUGAGGUUUCUGGAGCAGAUUCUGAUGGUGAUUCAAGCAGACUCUAGGCAGAACUCGUGCUCUGGUGAUGACAGUGUAAAGAACGAUGAUCUUCUUGGAGAGCUGAUGUCUCAGGACCACUUAUCUGACCUGGAUAUGCUCCUGAAUCCGGUCUGCAACCCGUGGCCUGCGCAUAUCCGUGAACAUCUAAUACGCACACAGUCAGCUCACAACAAAACGAACGGAAACCACAGUAAACCCAGCGAUGUCACAAACAGGAGUGAUCACCAUUCGCGACUAGGAAGUCAUGGAGAAGAAAGCCUGACAGAGGCCAUGGCGCUGCUGCAGUCUACCCAGAGCACAUUAGAUGAGCUCCACAAAGAGGUGGGACCACCAUGUGCCGUUUUUCACAUCUGA
ensembl:lncRNA